CUACUAAUAGGACUCUAUCAGCGCCCCUCUUCAACUUACCAAGUACUAUUAUACAGCAAUCCGAAGUUCUGAACAGCAAAUCUGCGUAGUUUGGAACUUUGCUAGGUCGCAACCAAGUUCACCCUGCCUAAUUCAGUUGGCUAACGUAUCGAACACCAUUUAUGGGAAGACAUUUUAUCAUCAUCGUGUCACGAUAAUCAGCUCAUUUCUAGCUCAAGGAAUUAGUAGCUAUAAGAUAAAACGUAGUAGGUGUAGUUGGACUGACUGAAGAGGCAUUUCAAUCAUGGGAAAAAUUAAGAGGAUUCGACAGAAAUACCACGCCACUCUCAAGAAGGAAAAUGGCAAGGAAUCACAGCCUACCAUUCAAGCUUCAAGUGAGCAACAGCUGAAGCCUGUGAUUGAAACGACAGAUGCUGUGUCUUCACAAAGUGAUAAUUUGUUUUCUGGGAUAAGAUUAGAUUGGAAGAUAUCAAGAACUCAUCAGAAACUCUGGCACAUGACGAUUUUGAUAAAUGAGUAUUUCGUCAGCCUUAGUAGGGAAGCAACAUGAAGGCGUUUCAAAAAAAGAACGAAGAAAGCAAAGGAGGGAAGAAUUGUUGAAAAGUAAGUCCUUUUAUUUUUAUUUUGUAAUAGGUCUGCAUGAGAGAGGAAGCAUAGCAUUAGGAACAGUUCUUUUAUUCAUUUAUACCCUCCUUACAAAUUUUACUUAUUGUGGAAUAACUUUCUACAUGAAAUGUUCACACAUUGUGUGUGUUCAAAUUAGAUCUGGAAAAGUAGCAAAAAUUUUCAUUAUAAUUACCAU